UACGUAGGGUGCAAGCGUUAAUCGGAAUUACUGGGCGUAAAGCGUGCGCAGGCGGUGAUGUAAGACAGGUGUGAAAUCCCCGGGCUUACCUGGGAACUGCAUUUGUGACUGCAUCGCUGGAGUGCGGCAGAGGGGGAUGGAAUUCCGCGUGUAGCAGUGAAAUGCGUAGAUAUGCGGAGGAACACCGAUGGCGAAGGCAAUCCCCUGGGCCUGCACUGACGCUCAUGCACGAAAGCGUGGGGAGCAAACAGG
rnacentral:rRNA from 1 species